rnacentral:rRNA from 1 species
GAUGAACGCUGACAGAAUGCUUAACACAUGCAAGUCAACUUGAACUUCGGUUUGGGUGGCGGACGGGUGAGUAACGCGUAAAGAACUUGCCUCACAGCUAGGGACAACAUUUGGAAACGAAUGCUAAUACCUGAUAUUAUGAUUAUAUGGCAUCGUAUAAUUAUGAAAGCUAUAUGCGCUGUGAGAGAGCUUUGCGUCCCAUUAGCUAGUUGGAGAGGUAACAGCUCACCGAGGCGAUGAUGGGUAGCCGGCCUGAGAGGGUGAUCGGCCACAAGGGGACUGGGGAACGGCCCUUACUCCUACGGGGGGCAGCAGUGGGGACUAUUGGACAAUGGACCGAGAGUCUGAUCCAGCAAUUCUGUGUGCACGAUGAAGUUUUUCGGAAUGUAAAGUGCUUUCAGUUGGGAAGAAAAAAAUGACGGUACCAACAGAAGAAGUGACGGCUAAAUACGUG